rnacentral:rRNA from 1 species
AUGAACGCUGGCGGCGUGCCUAAUACAUGCAAGUCGAGCGAACGGACGAGAAGCUUGCUUCUCUGAUGUUAGCGGCGGACGGGUGAGUAACACGUGGAUAACCUACCUAUAAGACUGGGAUAACUUCGGGAAACCGUAGCUAAUACCGGAUAAUAUUUUGAACCGCAUGGUUCAAAAGUGAAAGACGGUCUUGCUGUCACUUAUAGAUGGAUCCGCGCUGCAUUAGCUAGUUGGUAAGGUAACGGCUUACCAAGGCAACGAUGCAUAGCCGACCUGAGAGGGGGAUCGGACACACUGGAACUGAGACACGGACCAGACUCCUACGGGAGGCAGCAGUAGGGAAUCUUCCGCAAUGGGCGAAAGCCUGACGGAGCAACGCCGCGUGAGUGAUGAAGGUCUUCGGAUCGUAAAACUCUGUUAUUAGGGAAGAACAUAUGUGUAAGUAACUGUGCACAUCUUGACGGUACCUAAUCAGAAAGCCACGGCUAACUACGUG